UUGCGCUGCAGGCAUGGCAGAUCAUGUGCUGGCACUAACCAGCAUGGGCACACACCUUCUGGACAGGAGAGACAGAUGCUGAAACUGGAACAAAAACAAACAAGAGUGCUGGAAAAGCUCAGGUCAAGCAGCAUCUGUGGAGGCAAAAAGUGCAAUUCAACAAUUUGGGUUGAAACUUUGCAUCGGGACUGAGGGGAAGAGGAAGGAACACCAGUAUGUAGCAGGAUACGGCAGCUGAUGCACUUUCUGUUGUGUCUGUGCAACUACAUAUCAAUUAAAUAAAAAACCUACGUGAAAGAUGGCUUUAACUGGUGGAUUCACAUUGGAGCGAGAGAGAGGGAGGGAGCAGAUCAAUAUGCAUGUGUAGACGAUAGAUCAAUGCACAUCGGUUGACAGCUGGCUGACGUUAUUUUUGGUUUGCUGCUGGCGGCAAAUUUAAGUUUGGCGUUUUUCAUAAAUACAAGAAGGACUCAAAUAGACAUUGAGUAUUUUACUUAAAAGUAACCUUCAACCCAACAUCUUUUUCUCGGACUUCAAAAUGUUUUUGUUGCAUGCAGAAAUGUAAUUUUGUUUUCUCUGCAGGAGUUCAUCAAUUUCAUAAAUGCAACACAUUAUAGUUUGUUUAUACAUAGCAUAAAGGCAAAAAAAAAACGUUGUAUGCAGUGUUAUUUCAUUUUAAAUGUCAAACGGGUUUUGCGGCUCCCAGUGUUUUCUUUUCUGUGGGAAACGAGUCCAAGUGGCUCUUACAGUGGUAAAGGUUGCUGACCCCUGCCCUAGACUCUGCCUGACCUGCUGAGUUUCUCCAGCAUUUUGUGUGUUUUCCAAUUUCAAUGUUUUUGGUGCAGCUGUAAGUGAAAGCUCACCUCAAAAAGAACAGCAGAGAAGCAAAUUAUCAAGUACAGGACACAAUAACUGCUUGUCAAAUCAAAGUUGAUUUGAAUAACCACUCAAGCAUGGGUCCUUAUUAUCUCUUGCAUUUGCAAGUCCAUUGACGUCAACACUAACACACACUUAACAGUUUAACAGGAGAUCAUUGCAUGUGUGAGAAAUGGAGCUGUUUAUUCUCUUUUCUGCACAUGGACAGUUCUGUGUUGAACAAACACUGAAUCAGCUCAUCAAUGCAACUGAACCAAUCCAUCAAUUCACAGAACACACAUCCUUUCUGGGUUCAAUCUGAAUACAUCCACUUACAAUGUUCUUGCAACAGAGUAUAUGGACAGACAUUUUCCUGUUUAAUUUAUCAUCCCCUAAUUCUAUGAACCCCACCAUGAAUUGAAUGCUAAGUUUUCCUCGAUCAAGUUUCCUACAAGAAUGACAUUCAGGAAGUGUUCAAUAGCAUGUUUUCCAUUAGCUGACUUUGUUCAGUUGCUCAGUCAUCGUGCUGAAUUGAGUACCCAUUGUCUACCAUUACAACGUUGUUUAUAAUUCCAUUCUACAGUAUUCUGGGUGAGAGAGCAGGGUUCGACUGCGGUCUUUACAGUAGACUGGGGUGUCCAGCUUGCAGUCUGACAGCAUCCUUUCUGAGGGGAAUAGCUUCAAUGUGAUCAGUGACUCUGCUGAGCAUCUCACAGUUCAGCCACACCAUACCGGCCUGAAGAUGUUAGUAGGAGGUUAUAUGACUCACCCUCAUCUGCACCACUGAUGCCAAUCUUCAUAAUACACACCCCCAGUAAUUUGUUUUCUCAAGUCCUGCACUCUUCAAAUUUUAUCUCCCCAUUGGGCAUACUUAAUGUUUAACACUUAAUAUCUCAUUUAAUGUUAAGUAUAUAUAAAUCUGGGUAAGCUAUCUUAAUGGCAUUAACAUAGGUCAUUGAUUUGGAACAAUGGCUCUGUUUUUCACUCUAAAAUUGCUGCCUAACUUAUUAGGUUUGCCCUGUACCCUCUGCUUUUACUUAUAAUCCUCUCUGCCUAUAUUUCCUCUAUUUGCUGGACUUAAUGAAAGAGCACAACAGCCUGUUUCCAAAGUGAACUACAAUAAGAAAUACUGGAACCAGCAUGUAAGUGCCAUUUUAAAGAAGGCACAACAGUGUCUCUACUUUCUUAGAAAUUUGCACAGAUUUGGCAUGUCAUCUUAAACUUUGACAACUUCAAUAGAUACACAGUAUACCAACUGGUUGCAUCAGGACCUGGCAUGGGAACACCGAUGCCCGUAAAAGCCUACAAAAACUGGUGGAUGCAGCUCAUCGCAGGAGAAAUCGUUCCCACCAUUGAGUACAUCUACAAGGAGCUGUGCCUUAAGAAAGCAUCAUCAAGGACCCCACCAUCCAGUACGCGCCCUCUUCUCACUGCUGUCAUCAGGAAGGAGGUACAGAGGCCUUGGGUCUCCCACCACCAGGUUUAAGA